rnacentral:tRNA from 2 species
GGGCCGCUAGCUCAACUGGCAGAGCAUCUCCCUCUUAAGGAGGUGGUUGGAGGUUCGAGUCCUCCGCGGCUCACAA